GACGAACGCUGGCGGCGUGCUUAACACAUGCAAGUCGAGCGGAAAGGCCACUUCGGUGGUACUCGAGCGGCGAACGGGAGAGUAACACGUGAGUAAUCUGCCCUUGGCUUUGGGAUAGCCACCGGAAACGGUGAUUAAUACCGGAUAUGACCACUCCAGGCAUCUGGUGGUGGUGGAAAGUUUUUCGGCCAGGGAUGUGCUCGCGGCCUAUCAGCUUGAUGGUGAGGUAAUGGCUCACCAUGGCUUCGACGGGUAGCCGGCCUGAGAGGGUGACCGGUCACACUGGGACUGAGACACGGCCCAGACUCCUACGGGAGGCAGCAGUGGGGAAUAUUGGACAAUGGGCGGAAGCCUGAUCCAGCAACGCCGCGUGAGGGAUGACGGCCUUCGGGUUGUAAACCUCUUUUAGUAGGGAAGAAGCGAAAGUGACGGUACCUGCAGAAAAAGCACCGGCUAACUACGUGCCAGCCGCCGCCGUAAAAC
rnacentral:rRNA from 1 species